CAAAUGGCCCUUUUCAGGGCCACAAAAUCGUAUUUGACAAGGAACA
rfam:Habropoda laboriosa contig4909, whole genome shotgun sequence.